GUGGGGAAUAUUGGACAAUGGGCGAAAGCCUGAUCCAGCCAUGCCGCGUGUGUGAAGAAGGUCUUCGGAUUGUAAAGCACUUUAAGUUGGGAGGAAGGGCAGUAAGUUAAUACCUUGCUGUUUUGACGUUACCAACAGAAUAAGCACCGGCUAACUUCGUGCCAGCAGCCGCGGUAAUACGAAGGGUGCAAGCGUUAAUCGGAAUUACUGGGCGUAAAGCGCGCGUAGGUGGUUUUGUAAGUUGGAGGUGAAAUCCCCGGGCUCAACCUGGGAACUGCCUCCAAAACUACAUGACUAGAGUACGGUAGAGGGUAGUGGAAUUUCCUGUGUAGCGGUGAAAUGCGUAGAUAUAGGAAGGAACACCAGUGGCGAAGGCGACUACCUGGACUGAUACUGACACUGAGGUGCGAAAGCGUGGGGAGCAAACAGGAUUAGAAACCCGUGUAGUCC
rnacentral:rRNA from 1 species